rnacentral:rRNA from 1 species
AUUGAACGCUGGCGGCAGGCUUAACACAUGCAAGUCGAGCGGGGGAAGGAAGCUUGCUACUGGACCUAGCGGCGGACGGGUGAGUCAUGCUUAGGAAUCUGCCUAUUAGUGGGGGACAACAUCUCGAAAGGGAUGCUAAUACCGCAUACGUCCUACGGGAGAAAGCAGGGGAUCUUCGGACAUUGCGCUAAUAGAUGAGCCUAGGUCGGAUUAGCUAGUUGGUGGGGUAAAGGCCUACCAAGGCGACGAUCUGUAGCGGGUCUGAGAGGAUGAUCCGCCACACUGGGACUGAGACACGGCCCAGACUCCUACGGGAGGCAGCAGUGGGGAAUAUUGGACAAUGGGGGGAACCCUGAUCCAGCCAUGCCGCGUGUGUGAAGAAGGCCUUAUGGUUGUAAAGCACUUUAAGCGAGGAGGAGGCUACUCUAGUUAAUACCUAGGGAUAGUGGACGUUACUCGCAGAAUAAGCACCGGCUAACUCUGUGCCAGCCGCCGCGGUAA